UGGGGAAUAUUGCACAAUGGGCGAAAGCCUGAUGCAGCAACGCCGCGUGAGUGGUGAAGGUCUUCGGAUUGUAAAGCUCUGUCUUUUGGGACGAUAAUGACGGUACCAAAGGAGGAAGCCACGGCUAACUACGUGCCAGCAGCCGCGGUAAUACGUAGGUGGCGAGCGUUGUCCGGAUUUACUGGGCGUAAAGGGUGCGUAGGCGGAUGUUUAAGUGAGAUGUGAAAUACCCGGGCUUAACUUGGGUGCUGCAUUUCAAACUGGAUAUCUAGAGUGCAGGAGAGGAGAAUGGAAUUCCUAGUGUAGCGGUGAAAUGCGUAGAGAUUAGGAAGAACACCAGUGGCGAAGGCGAUUCUCUGGACUGUAACUGACGCUGAGGCACGAAAGCGUGGGUAGCAAACAGGAUUAGAUACCCUGGUAGUCCACGCCGUAAACGAUGAGUACUAGGUGUAGGAGGUAUCGACCCCUUCUGUGCCGCAGUAAAC
rnacentral:rRNA from 1 species